UGGGGAAUUUUGGACAAUGGGCGAAAGCCUGAUCCAGCAAUGCCGCGUGUGUGAAGAAGGCCUUCGGGUUGUAAAGCACUUUUGUCCGGAAAGAAAUCCUUGGCUCUAAUACAGUCGGGGGAUGACGGUACCGGAAGAAUAAGCACCGGCUAACUACGUGCCAGCAGCCGCGGUAAUACGUAGGGUGCAAGCGUUAAUCGGAAUUACUGGGCGUAAAGCGUGCGCAGGCGGUUUGCUAAGACCGAUGUGAAAUCCCCGGGCUCAACCUGGGAACUGCAUUGGUGACUGGCAGGCUAGAGUAUGGCAGAGGGGGGUAGAAUUCCACGUGUAGCAGUGAAAUGCGUAGAGAUGUGGAGGAAUACCGAUGGCGAAGGCAGCCCCCUGGGCCAAUACUGACGCUCAUGCACGAAAGCGUGGGGAGCAAACAGGAUUAGAUACCCUGGUAGUCCACGCCCUAAAACGAUGUCAACUAGUUGUUGGGGAUUUCAUUUCCUUAGUAACGUAGCUAACGCGUGAAGUUGACCGCCUGGGGAGUACGGUCGCAAGAUUAAAACUCAAAGGAAUUGACGGGGUCAUAGCUGUUUCCU
rnacentral:rRNA from 1 species